rnacentral:rRNA from 1 species
GAUGAACGCUGGCGGCGUGCCUAAUACAUGCAAGUCGAGCGAACAGACGAGGAGCUUACUCCUCUGACGUUAGCGGCGGACGGGUGAGUAACACGUGGAUAACCUACCUAUAAGACUGGGAUAACUUCGGGAAACCGGAGCUAAUACCGGAUAACAUGUUGAACCGCAUGGUUCAACAGUGAAAGACGGUCUUGCUGUCACUUAUAGAUGGAUCCGCGUCGCAUUAGCUAGUUGGUAAGGUAACGGCUUACCAAGGCAACGAUGCGUAGCCGACCUGAGAGGGUGAUCGGCCACACUGGAACUGAGACACGGUCCAGACUCCUACGGGAGGCAGCAGUAGGGAAUCUUCCGCAAUGGGCGAAAGCCUGACGGAGCAACGCCGCGUGAGUGAAGAAGGUCUUCGGAUCGUAAAACUCUGUUAUUAGGGAAGAACAAAUGUGUAAGUAACCAUGCACGUCUUGACGGUACCUAAUCAGAAAGCCACGGCUAACUGCGUG